CAGAAAACAAAGAGAACCCAGAGAGCUCUGCUUUUACAUUUUAAGCUGCCUAAAAGCCAGAUGACUGCUUAAUAUAAAACAUAAUUGGAAAGAAGGCACAAGAGAGUUAAUGAGAGAAACACAACCUUCAUUUCCUCUGUAGACCACAACAGGUUCAAUGUCAAGUGGAACAAUUAUAAGAAUUAAAUGGAAAAUGAGGCCAACUCUUCAGUAUGAGCCUUUGCUGUUAUAAGUAAACUAAUUAGGUAUAACUGACAUUUCUUUGGCAGACAAAGCCCAAGAGUAGAGAAUUUCAAAGUCCUUUUGCUGGUCUGGCUUAUUUCACUCAACAGAACUAGUGAACUUUAAUAGCAAAUACACUUUUCCUUCAGUAAAAGAUGGGUCUACACAAGAACUGUUUUGUUAACAUUGCUGGCAAACCUCUUUAGCAGAGACUGAUCUCAACAGAGCUGUAGAUGAAGGCCAAAGUUCAGAUUCAUAAACCAGAAACCACUGGGUACCAGCUGAGGCCUAGUAGCUGCCUCUGAGCAUGCUUUUGACCUAAGACAACAGUUUUAACAUCUUUUACUGUAGCUUAAACUGGCUUGUACCUCUGUGAACCUAAGUAAAUAUUCACAGGUAACCUACUGCAUUGUAACACGAUGAACCAAAGUGAAGUGGCCCAAGUACCUGUGGAGCAGUCAGGGAAAGGGAAUACUGAUAUUCCCUCCUCUCAAAUCCCACACAGAAACAAAAAAACUCAGCACUAGUAUGUUCUGACACUGACUGAAGUACAAGUUCCAUUUUCCAUCACUCCAGUGUCCAGUCUCCAACCUUCAGACCAAGAGGGUUUUGAUUUUUGUUGGGGGCUUUAAGCCAAAGCUCUUGGGGCCUACAUUUUGGUCUGACUUGUUCUUCCAGAUCUGAUUGUAACUCUCAAAUGACAGAGACUGAGUCUUCCCCAGUGUUUAUAUCUUACCAAGCAGACUGAAGACAAUCAAUAAAGCAGAGAUCAUCUCAAUAAAAGUUUGUAUACAUUUCAUUAAGUCAUUUAAGUGCAUGUGUAAGUUACUGCAUGAACAGCUUCCAAGUGGAGCACUGUGAAACUCCAUAGCAACACUAAUGACAUCAGGGAAAAGAAUGAGCCUUUGAAAAAAUAGAAAGCUGAAGAGGUCAUGGCUUUCAGCCACACUUGAUCCUUCAACAUUCAGCAUAAAGUGUACUUUUCAUUCCCCCAGCUGGUGAAGAACAGAAUACAGGAGACAGGGGUGAUGCUCUCCUCCUCACUGAUGCCGUUUUUAAACACACAAUUGCUUGGGCUCUUUACCUGUGGUAACUCUUGGAAAAAUCCUGGGCAUGGCCUUGUCUGGCUGCUCUUAGAAGCAGUGAUUAGGACAGCCAGUAACAACAGUCAAGGAAAACACAGUAUGUGAUGCUGGAAACAAAUUGUUAUUACAGAGAAUCACUUUGUGCAAAAGCCUUUUUCAUACAACAGCACCAAUUAUUUCAGAGUUCAGAGCCACAGCUUUCAACUUCAGUGGGAAAAAAACCAAAACCAUAAACAUCUUUAAUUCUGUCCUGGCUCUUGUAAACUUCACAUCUGUAUCAGGAGCACCUUCUGCCCUUUAUGGUGCAGGUAUCACCCCACAGCUGUGUGCAAGCUCGGAUUGGGUGCAGAUGUGAAGAGCAAUUGAGAGGAUGUGGAUCCACAGGAGAGGCAGGACCCGAGAUCACAAGCAGCCCGAGGCUGUUUGCUCUUGUGUGGACACUGAGGAAGAAGGAUGUGCAUAACCCAGCUUUCCCUGCUCAGCCUGAGCUGCAGGUGUGCCUGGGAGGCCCUUGGGUGGCUGGUUUGCAGGGAAUUCAAGUGUCCUACAUCAGCACUGCGACACUCAGGGAAGCACAGAGGAUUGAAGUGUCACUGCUGUGGGCUCGGGGUGACAAACCCAAGGUGUUCACAGCACUGCUGCCUGGAAAAGAUGGAGUGUGCGCAGCAGGGGCUGUGCUCCAGCCAGCUCAGGAAAGGAAAGAAUUACCCAGCCAGGAAAACACUCUGAAAAAUCCUUCAGACAUUUGAAACAGUGCUUAUUAUUUUUAAUAUCUGCAUUUCAGAUUUUCCUGGGGUUAUUGUUAUUGUUAUUGCUAUCCUUUAACAAGUAGAAAGAGACACAGAAGAGCUGAGAUAUUUCCUGAUCUGUUUUGUUUGCCUUUAGAUAAAUAAAUCUGCAAACGUUUCAAAA